GUUAGGGUUUCUCUUCUGUUCUCCGUUGAUCGCCGACGUUACAGUUCGAAGUGCAUGUGCCAAUCUCUGAACCAAUAUCCUUUGGGAUUUAUCACAAAAGUUUAAUUAGAGCUCAGCCAGGCUAGAAAGUUGGACUUUACAAUGACAAGAAGCCAGAAACAGCUAUUUCUGACGGGUACGGGCAAGGACAAGAGCUGCCAAGGUUGGCGAAGGUUCAUCCAAGGAUGAAAAUACACAAAAACUAUCCUUGAUCAUGGAUCAAAGAGAAAUCGUGACAUGAGAAGUUGGCUUGGUUAGUUUGUAAUGGAACUAAUCCAUUAUUACCUAAUUUCCAGAAAGAAUCCACGGAAGAUUCAAUUGAGAUUGCAAUUGGAAAACUGCUUCAUGAUACCGAGGUUACGGUUGCAAAGGUUUUAAGUGAAGCAGAGAUGUGUUUGACUUUAGUUUUGUUCCAGUAUGAUCCAUUCAGACGCGUAACUGUAAGAUAAUAUGUUUCUUUGUAUAAACUUUCCAGUAUUUGCUAGUAGAACCUUCUUUAGCUGUGCCGCA